rfam:Halostagnicola larsenii XH-48, complete genome.
GCGAGGGUAGCCAAGCGGCCAACGGCGACGGACUCAAGAUCCGUUCGUGUAGACGUUCGUGGGUUCAAUUCCCUCCCCUCGCA